rnacentral:misc_RNA from 1 species
GAUGAAGAACGUAGCGAAAUGCGAUACGUAAUGUGAAUUGCAAAUUCAGUGAAUCAUCGAGUCUUUGAACGCACAUUGCGCCCUCUGGUAUUCCGGAGGGCAUGCCUGUCCGAGCGUCAUUGCUGCCCUCAAGCACGGCUUGUGUGUUGGGCUCCGUCCCCCGAUCCCGGGGGACGGGCCCGAAAGGCAGCGGCGGCACCGCGUCCGGUCCUCGAGCGUAUGGGGCUUUGUCACCCGCUCUGUAGGCCCGGCCGGCGCUUGCCGAUCAACCAAAUUUUUAUCCAGGUUGACCUCGGAUCAGGUAGGGAUACCCGCUGAACUUAAGCAUAUCAAUAAGCGGAGGA